GUGCUUGCUUCGGCAGCAUAUAUACUGAAAUUGGAACAAUACAGAGAAGAUUAGCAUGGCCCUUGCGCAAGAAUGACAUGCAAAUUUGUAAAGCGUUCCAUAUUUUU
rnacentral:snRNA from 1 species